UACGUAGGGCGCAAGCGUUGUCCGGAAUUACUGGGCGUAAAGGCGCGUAGGCGGUGUGUCAAGUCAGGCGUGAAAGCCCCGGGCUCAACCUGGGAACCGCGCUUGAGACUGGCACGCUCGAGUUCGGGAGAGGAUGGUGGAAUUCCCAGUGUAGAGGUGAAAUUCGUAGAUAUUGGGAAGAACACCGAUGGCGAAGGCAGCCAUCUGGACCGACACUGACGCUGAAGGCGCGGAAAGCGUGGGGAGCAAACAGG
rnacentral:rRNA from 1 species